UAUAAAGUGCCAAUUUGCUGCUUAAAAUCUCAAGCCAUAGAAGGAAAAGUGAAAAAUCAAGAAAGCCAUGAAAAUCCAACUUUUCUUAGCACUUCUUCUUUCAUUGCUCCUAAUACUCCCAACUGCGCCACAGAAUAAUUUUGCAUGUGACAAGAAAAGUCCUGAAACAAGCCAAUAUCCAUUUUGUAAUAUAUCCCUUUCCUAUGCAGAUCGAGCCAAGGACAUCAUUUCACGUCUAACUCUCCAAGAGAAGGUGCAACAACUAGUAAAUCAUGCAGUUGGAAUUUCCCGACUAGGCAUCCCUGCAUAUGAAUGGUGGUCGGAGGCACUUCAUGGGGUGGCCAGUGUUGGUUAUGGAGUACGUUUUAAUGCCACAGUGCCUGGUGCCACUAGCUUCCCAGCAGUGAUUUUGUCUGCUGCUAGUUUUAAUGAGAAACUAUGGUUAAAUAUGGGGCAGGUGGUGUCAACAGAGGCUCGAGCCAUGCACAAUGUGGGUCUAGCAGGGUUGACAUUUUGGAGUCCUAAUGUUAAUGUGUUCCGUGAUCCCAGAUGGGGCCGUGGCCAAGAGACACCAGGUGAAGACCCAUUGGUGGUGUCAAGAUAUGCAGUGAAUUAUGUCAGAGGCUUGCAAGAAGUUGGUGAAGAAGGGAACUUCACAACAGAUGAUAAGCUCAAAGUCUCAAGCUGUUGUAAGCAUUAUACUGCUUAUGAUCUUGACAAAUGGAAAGGUGUUGAUCGUUUUCACUUUGAUGCUAAGGUGACAAAACAAGACCUAGAGGACACAUAUCAGCCGCCAUUUAGGAGCUGUGUAGAAGAGGCACAUAUCAGUAGUGUGAUGUGUUCAUAUAACAGGGUCAAUGGGGUUCCUACUUGUGCUGAUCCAGACCUACUCAAAGGGAUUAUUAGAGAUCAAUGGAAUCUUGAUGGAUAUAUUGUCUCUGACUGUGAUUCCAUUGAGGUUUACUAUGAUAGAAUCAACUACACAGCUACUCCUGAAGAUGCAGUAGCCCUUGCUCUGAAAGCAGGUAUUAUAAAAUACCCAAAAAUUCAGAAGACAACAAGAAUUUAGUUUUUCAUUUAUUACAUGUUUUAUGCAGGCUUGAAUAUGAACUGUGGGGACUUUUUAGGGAAGUAUACAGAAAAUGCAGUGAAAUUGAAUAAAGUAGAAGAAUCUGUUGUAGACACGGCCUUGAUCUACAACUUAAUAGUGUUGAUGCGACUUGGUUUCUUUGAUGGGGAUCCAAAAUCACUCCUAUUUGGGAAUCUUGGACCAUCUGAUGUAUGCAGCAAUGAACAUCAAAUACUGGCACUUGAUGCUGCAAGGCAAGGAAUAGUCCUAUUAGACAACAAGGGAGCUCUUCCUUUGUCUAAAAAUGUCACCAAGAGCAUAGCUGUUAUAGGACCAAAUGGUAAUGUUACUGAUACUAUGAUAAGUAACUAUGCUGGUAUACCCUGCCAGUACACCACCCCUUUACAAGGGCUGCAAAAGUAUGUCCCAACAGCCACAUAUGAGGCUGGAUGUUCAGUGAGCUGCACUAAUGAGACAGGUUUUGAGGCCGCAAUUAAGGUUAGUUCUAUAGCUGAUGCAGUGGUGAUGAUUGUAGGGCUUGAUCAAUCAAUAGAGAGAGAGGAAUUGGAUAGAGAGAACUUGACAUUGCCAGGAUAUCAGGAGAAACUUGUAUUGGACGCUGCUAAUGCAACAAAUGGAACAGUGAUUCUUGUUGUUAUGUCUGCUAGUCCUAUUGAUGUUUCCUUUGCCAGGAAUAAGAGCAAGAUUGGAGGGAUUUUGUGGGUUGGCUAUCCUGGGCAAGCAGGAGGAGAUGCCAUAGCCCAAGUCAUAUUUGGAGACUACAAUCCAGCUGGUAGGUCUCCUUUUACUUGGUACCCACAAGCGUAUGUGGAUCAAGUGCCAAUGACAAACAUGAAUAUGCGAGCAAAUGCCAGUGGUGACUUUCCUGGAAGAACCUACAGGUUUUACAAAGGGGAAACUAUUUACAAGUUUGGUCAUGGACUAAGCUAUUCAACCUUCUCCAAGUUCAUAGUUUCUGCUCCAUCUACUCUACCCGUCCAAACAAAUUCUAACCUCAACCCACAUAGCAUUCUCUCAACUAAUGACUCCACAGAGAGAUCCCCUUAUGCCAAUAAUCAAGCCAUCGAUGUUUCGACCCUGAACUGCACAAAUUUGGCACUAGUUCUUGCCAUUGGAGUGAGAAACAACGGGCCAAUGAGUGGAGACCAUGUGGUGCUAGUGUUUUGGAAGCCACCAAACACUACAGAGGUGAGCGGUGCACCAAAUAUAGAAUUGGUUGGAUUCAGCAGGGUGGAAGUUAAGAGAGGGAAGACACAGAAUGUAACAGUGACAGUUGAUGUUUGCAAAAGACUUAGUCUGGCGGAUAGUGAAGGGAAAAGGAAACUGGUGACAGGGCAGCACACAUUUAUAAUUGGGUCUUCUAGCGAAAGACAAGUGAGGCACCAUCUUGAUAUUAGGCUGGCUCAAAACUGUACUGAAGAAAGCAGAAUGUCUAUGUAAUCCAUCGACAGCUAGCAAUCCCUCAGAUAGCUAUAGAUAGUUAGGAACUGCGAGCGAUGCAGUGAGAGUUCUACACAAUGAAUUUGCAUAUUUGAGUAUAAGCAGAUGUGGUAGAAAUAUAGAUUAAAAUAAAAUGAGAAUAGUUCGCUAGAGGAAGGGGUUGAACCUUCGACCUUGUGGUUAACAGCCACACGCUCUAACCAACUGAGCUACUCCAGCUGCUUGUUAUUGACUUAGCAUAUUAUUAAAUAUAUCUUAUAAUAUCAUUAGAAUUUUAUAUCUCUAUGUCCAUUUUGAUUGUUACUGAUGUCAUUUAUGGUACAAAAUCAUCCCCACUUUUACCAUAUUGAAGUCAAAUCAUAAUUAAUAGAUAUUUGUG
rnacentral:tRNA from 1 species